CUCAGGAUGAACGCUAGCUACAGGCUUAACACAUGCAAGUCGAGGGGCAGCAUUUUAGUUUGCUUGCAAACUGAAGAUGGCGACCGGCGCACGGGUGAGUAACACGUAUCCAACCUACCGAUAACUCCGGAAUAGCCUUUCGAAAGAAAGAUUAAUACCGGAUAGCAUACGAAUAUCGCAUGAUAUUUUUAUUAAAGAAUUUCGGUUAUCGAUGGGGAUGCGUUCCAUUAGUUUGUUGGCGGGGUAACGGCCCACCAAGACUACGAUGGAUAGGGGUUCUGAGAGGAAGGUCCCCCACAUUGGAACUGAGACACGGUCCAAACUCCUACGGGAGGCAGCAGUGAGGAAUAUUGGUCAAUGGGCGAGAGCCUGAACCAGCCAAGUAGCGUGAAGGAUGAAGGCUCUAUGGGUCGUAAACUUCUUUUAUAUGGGAAUAAAGUUUUCCACGUGUGGAAUUUUGUAUGUACCAUAUGAAUAAGGAUCGGCUAACUCCGUGCCAGCAGCCGCGGUAAUACGGAGGAUCCGAGCGUUAUCCGGAUUUAUUGGGUUUAAAGGGAGCGUAGGUGGAUUGUUAAGUCAGUUGUGAAAGUUUGCGGCUCAACCGUAAAAUUGCAGUUGAAACUGGCAGUCUUGAGUACAGUAGAGGUGGGCGGAAUUCGUGGUGUAGCGGUGAAAUGCUUAGAUAUCACGAAGAACUCCGAUUGCGAAGGCAGCUCACUAGACUGUCACUGACACUGAUGCUCGAAAGUGUGGGUAUCAAACAGGAUUAGAUACCCUGGUAGUCCACACAGUAAACGAUGAAUACUCGCUGUUUGCGAUAUACAGUAAGCGGCCAAGCGAAAGCAUUAAGUAUUCCACCUGGGGAGUACGCCGGCAACGGUGAAACUCAAAGGAAUUGACGGGGGCCCGCACAAGCGGAGGAACAUGUGGUUUAAUUCGAUGAUACGCGAGGAACCUUACCCGGGCUUAAAUUGCAACAGAAUAUAUUGGAAACAGUAUAGCCGUAAGGCUGUUGUGAAGGUGCUGCAUGGUUGUCGUCAGCUCGUGCCGUGAGGUGUCGGCUUAAGUGCCAUAACGAGCGCAACCCUUAUCUUUAGUUACUAACAGGUUAUGCUGAGGACUCUAGAGAGACUGCCGUCGUAAGAUGUGAGGAAGGUGGGGAUGACGUCAAAUCAGCACGGCCCUUACGUCCGGGGCUACACACGUGUUACAAUGGGGGGUACAGAAGGCGGCUACCUGGUGACAGGAUGCUAAUCCCAAAAACCUCUCUCAGUUCGGAUCGAAGUCUGCAACCCGACUUCGUGAAGCUGGAUUCGCUAGUAAUCGCGCAUCAGCCAUGGCGCGGUGAAUACGUUCCCGGGCCUUGUACACACCGCCCGUCAAGCCAUGAAAGCCGGGGGUACCUGAAGUACGUAACCGCAAGGAGCGUCCUAGGGUAAAACUGGUA
rnacentral:rRNA from 1 species